AGAAUAUUGCACAAAUCUGUGCAGGAGUCUUGCCAUGGCUGCUCUUCCUGUUCACUACAAAAGGGUUUUGUCACCAGAGGGUUCAUUGUCAGUGGGGGCCUUAUGGUAGCUGGUCAGAGUGUGAUGCCUGCACCAAACUACAGCUAUAGAAGAUCCAUGGUUCGUGUACCAGCCUGGGCUGGGAUAGGCUCCAGCUCCCCAGCAACCUUAAUGAGGAUUAAGUGGUGUAUAGCUAAUGGACGGAUGGAUGUUGUGGUGUGUGACAGACUAGAA